rnacentral:rRNA from 1 species
UACGAAGGGUGCAAGCGUUAUUCGGAAUUACUGGGCGUAAAGGGUGCGUAGGCGGUUCGGUAAGUCUGUUGUGAAAUCCCCGGGCUCAACCUGGGAAUGGCGAUGGAUACUGGCGAGCUAGAGUGUGUAAGAGGAUGGUGGAAUUCCCGGUGUAGCGGUGAAAUGCGUAGAGAUCGGGAGGAACAUCAGUGGCGAAGGCGGCCAUCUGGGACAACACUGACGCUGAAGCACGAAAGCGCGGGGAGCAAACAGG